rnacentral:rRNA from 1 species
GAUGCCCUGGCAGUCAGAGGCGAUGAAGGGCGUACUAAUCUGCGAUAAGCGCCGGUAAGGUGAUAUGAACCGUUAUAACCGGCGAUACCCGAAUGGGGAAACCCAGUGUGAUUCGUCACACUAUCAUUAACUGAAUCCAUAGGUUAAUGAGGCGAACCGGGGGAACUGAAACAUCUAAGUACCCCGAGGAAAAGAAAUCAACCGAGAUUCCCCCAGUAGCGGCGAGCGAACGGGGAGGAGCCCAGAGCCUGAAUCAGCAUGUGUGUUAGUGGAAGCGUCUGGAAAGGCGCGCGAUACAGGGUGACAGCCCCGUACACAAAAGCGCAUGUGCUGUGAGCUCGAUGAGUAGGGCGGGACACGUGGUAUCCUGUCUGAAUAUGGGGGGACCAUCCUCCAAGGCUAAAUACUCCUGACUGACCGAUAGUGAACCAGUACCGUGAGGGAAAGGCGAAAAGAACCCCGGCGAGGGGAGUGAAAAAGAACCUGAAACCGUGUACGUACAAGCAGUGGGAGCACCCUUUGGGUGUGACUGCGUACCUUUUGUAUAAUGGGUCAGCGACUUAUAUUCUGUAGCAAGGUUAACCGAAUAGGGGAGCCGGAGGGAAACCGAGUCUUAACCGGGCGUUAAGUUGCAGGGUAUAGACCCGAAACCCGGUGAUCUAGCCAUGGGCAGGUUGAAGGUUGGGUAACACUAACUGGAGGACCGAACCGACUAAUGUUGAAAAAUUAGCGGAUGACCUGUGGCUGGGGGUGAAAGGCCAAUCAAACCGGGAGAUAGCUGGUUCUCCCCGAAAGCUAUUUAGGUAGCGCCUCGUGAAUUCAUCUCCGGGGGUAGAGCACUGUUUCGGCUAGGGGGCCAUCCCGGCUUACCAACCCGAUGCAAACUGCGAAUACCGGAGAAUGUUAUCACGGGAGACACACGGCGGGUGCUAACGUCCGUCGUGAAGAGGGAAACAACCCAGACCGCCAGCUAAGGUCCCAAAGUCAUGGUUAAGUGGGAAACGAUGUGGGAAGGCCCAGACAGCCAGGAUGUUGGCUUAGAAGCAGCCAUCAUUUAAAGAAAGCGUAAUAGCUCACUGGUCGAGUCGGCCUGCGCGGAAGAUGUAACGGGGCUAAACCAUGCACCGAAGCUGCGGCAGCGACACUGUGUGUUGUUGGGUAGGGGAGCGUUCUGUAAGCCUGUGAAGGUGUGUCGUGAGGCAUGCUGGAGGUAUCAGAAGUGCGAAUGCUGACAUAAGUAACGAUAAAGCGGGUGAAAAGCCCGCUCGCCGGAAGACCAAGGGUUCCUGUCCAACGUUAAUCGGGGCAGGGUGAGUCGACCCCUAAGGCGAGGCCGAAAGGCGUAGUCGAUGGGAAACGGGUUAAUAUUCCCGUACUUGGUGUUACUGCGAAGGGGGGACGGAGAAGGCUAUGUUGGCCGGG